UACAGAGGAGCCAAGCGUUGUCCGGAUUGACUGGGCGUAAAGCGUGCGCAGGCGGUUAUGUAAGUCAGGUGUGAAAUCCCCGGGCUUAACCUGGGAACUGCAUUUGUGACUGCAUAGCUAGAGUACGGUAGAGGGGGAUGGAAUUCCGCGUGUAGCAGUGAAAUGCGUAGAUAUGCGGAGGAACACCGAUGGCGAAGGCAAUCCCCUGGACCUGUACUGACGCUCAUGCACGAAAGCGUGGGGAGCAAACAGG
rnacentral:rRNA from 1 species